rnacentral:rRNA from 1 species
UACGUAGGUGGCAAGCGUUGUCCGGAUUUACUGGGCGUAAAGAGCGCGCAGGCGGUCGUUCAAGUCGCGUGUGAAAGCCCCCGGCUCAACUGGGGAGGGUCACGCGAUACUGAUCGACUCGAAGGCAGGAGAGGGUAGUGGAAUUCCCGGUGUAGUGGUGAAAUGCGUAGAUAUCGAGAGGAACACCUGCGGCGAAGGCGGGUUGCUGGGCUGACACUGACGCUGAGGCGCGAAAGCCAGGGGAGCGAACGGG